rnacentral:rRNA from 1 species
GACGAACGCUGGCGGCGUGCUUAACACAUGCAAGUCGAACGGAAAGGCCCUGCUUUUGUGGGGUGCUCGAGUGGCGAACGGGUGAGUAACACGUGAGUAACCUGCCCUUGACUUUGGGAUAACUUCAGGAAACUGGGGCUAAUACCGGAUAGGAGCUCCUGCUGCAUGGUGGGGGUUGGAAAGUUUCGGCGGUUGGGGAUGGACUCGCGGCUUAUCAGCUUGUUGGUGGGGUAGUGGCUUACCAAGGCUUUGACGGAUAGCCGGCCUGAGAGGGUGGCGGCCACAUUGGGACUGAGAUACGGCCCAGACUCCUACGGGAGGCAGCAGUGGGGAAUAUUGCACAAUGGGCGGAAGCCUGAUGCAGCAACGCCGCGUGCGGGAUGACGGCCUUCGGGUUGUAAACCGCUUUCGCCUGUGACGAAGCGUGAGUGACGGUAAUGGGUAAAGAAGCACCGGCUAACUACGUG